rnacentral:rRNA from 1 species
GGGGGAUAUUGCGCAAUGGGGGCAACCCUGACGCAGCAACGCCGCGUGAAGGAUGAAGGUUUUCGGAUUGUAAACUUCUUUUAUUAAGGACGAAACUUGACGGUACUUAAUGAAUAAGCUCCGGCUAACUACGUGCCAGCAGCCGCGGUAAUACGUAGGGAGCAAGCGUUGUCCGGAUUUACUGGGUGUAAAGGGUGCGUAGGCGGCUUUGCAAGUCAGAUGUGAAAUCUAUGGGCUCAACCCAUAAACUGCAUUUGAAACUGUAGAGCUUGAGCGAAGUAGAGGCAGGCGGAAUUCCCCGUGUAGCGGUGAAAUGCGUAGAGAUGGGGAGGAACACCAGUGGCGAAGGCGGCCUGCUGGGCUUUAACUGACGCUGAGGCACGAAAGCGUGGGUAGCAAACAGGAUUAGAUACCCUGGUAGUCCACGCUGUAAACGAUGAUUACUAGGUGUGGGGGGUCUGACCCCUUCCGUGCCGGAGUUAACACAAUAAGUAAUCCACCUGGGGAGUACGGCCGCAAGGUUGAAACUCAAAGGAAUUGACGGGGGCCCGCACAAGCAGUGGAGUAUGUGGUUUAAUUCGAAGCAACGCGAAGAACCUUACCAGGUCUUGACAUCCAACUAACGAAGUAGAGAUACAUUAGGUGCCCUUCGGGGAAAGUUGAGACAGGUGGUGCAUGGUUGUCGUCAGCUCGUGUCGUGAGAUGUUGGGUUAAGUCCCGCAACGAGCGCAACCCUUGCUAUUAGUUGCUACGCAAGAGCACUCUAAUAGGACUGCCGUUGACAAAACGGAGGAAGGUGGGGACGACGUCAAAUCAUCAUACCCCUUAUGACCUGGGCUACACACGUACUACAAUGGAUGUUAACAGAGGGAAGCAAGACAGCGAUGUGGAGCAAACCCCUAAAAACAUUCUCAGCUCAGAUUGCAGGCUGCAACCCGCCUGCAUGAAGAUGGAAUUGCUAGUAAUCGCGGAUCAGCAUGCCGCGGUGAAUACGUUCCCG